UGUAUCUGUGAUGAUAACUUGGCUCCCUCUACUGAAAGUUGGUGAGGAGAACCGCCAUCGUUACCCAAUUCCAACUGAGAUACA